rfam:Oryzias latipes DNA, chromosome15, strain: Hd-rR.
GGCGCUGUGGCUUGGUUGGUUAAAGCACUUGUUUAGCACACAGGAGAUCCUGGGUCCAAAUCCCAGCAGUGCCU